GCCAGCAGCCAUGUCACCCUGCAACUCACAUCUGGCAGCCCGCUGAAGCUAAGCGGGUGUGAGCCUGGUCAGUACCUGGAUGGGAGACCUCCUGGGAAAAACUAAGGUUGCUGCUGGAA
rnacentral:rRNA from 1 species